GGGAAGUGGGAUGCAGAUGCUGCGGCAUCUUGCCAGCGGAUGGGAGAAUCGUGCGAUAUCUGCUGCAGGAGGUGGAGCAGGAUCGCGGCCGUUUAUCGUGGCCUGUCAGGCAGUAAUGGAGCCGUGUGGGCGCAGGAUCCGCCGUAGAGAGUGGAGCAGUGUUGCGACCGUUACUGCGGCCUGUCAGGGAGUGAUGGAGCUGCGCGGAGU
rnacentral:lncRNA from 1 species